UCGAGGGCACGGGGUGGGUAACGCGUGGGAAUCUACCCUUAAGACUGGGAUAACACCUCGAAAGGGGUGCUAAUACCGGAUACGCUCGUAAUCUCGUCGGAGGUUGCGAGGAAAGGUGGCGGAAGGCGCAAGCCUGCUACCACUUUAGGAUGGGCCCGCGUCCUAUUAGCUAGUUGGUGGGGUAAUGGCCUACCAAGGCGAUGAUGGGUAGCUGGUCUGAGAGGACGACCAGCCACACUGGGACUGAGACACGGCCCAGACUCCUACGGGAGGCAGCAGUGGGGAAUAUUUGUCAAUGGGCGAAAGCCUGAACAAGCGACGCCGCGUGGGCAAUGAAGGUCCUUGGAUCUUAAAGCCCUGUUCGGGGGAACGAAUGGAUCGGGAGCAAAUAGUUCCCGGUCUUUGACGGUACCUCCGCAGAAAGCCCCGGCUAACUACGUGCCAGCAGCCGCGGUAAUACGUAGGGGGCAAGCGUUGUCCGGAAUCACUGGGUGUAAAGGGCGUGUAGGCGACUCUUUAAGUUGAAUGUGAAAUCUCUCGGCUCAACUGAGAGCGGUCAUUCAAUACUGGAGGGAUACGAGGACGGAAGAGGGAAGUGGAAUUCUCGGUGUAGCGGUAAAAUGCGUAGAUAUCGAGAGGAACACCGGUGGCGAAGGCGGCUUCCUGGUCCGUUCCUGACGCUGAGGCGCGAAAGCUUGGGUAGCAAACGGGAUUAGAUACCCCGGUAGUCCAGGCCCUAAACGUUGACUACUAGGUGUUGGAGAGGUUCAAUCUCUUCAGUGCCGCAGCUAACGCGAUAAGUAGUCCACCUGGGGAGUACGGCCGCAAGACU
rnacentral:rRNA from 1 species